rnacentral:lncRNA from 1 species
UGUUCUAGGAUUGUAGAUUCAUUUUUGUCACUUCAGACCUUUACCAGUUUUGCUAAAAGGAGUUGUGAUUUCUUCUCUGGGUGCCUCAGUACACAGAACCAGGAAACUGAUUGCAGCCAAGAGAAUAUGAUUUACAGAUACAGUGGAUUUACACAAAGAGCUAUCAAGUUAGAAAAAAAAAAAAAAAUAUAUCCAGCAAAAGAGGGUACACCAGACCUGGUUUAUUACCAUAGAUGACCACAGAAGACAUUGACGAUUCCUUUCCACCAUUGGUCAAAAUGUUCUUGCUGCAUCCUCUUCGACUCCAGUAUAGGUAAAGACUGGGUCAAGAAUUUUCUUUCUUUUUUUUUUUUUUGAGACUGAGUCUCGCUCUGUCGCCCAGGCUGGAGUGCUGUGGCGCGAUCUCAGCUCACUGCAAGCUCCGCCUCCCGGGUUCCCGCCAUUCUCCUGCCUCAACCUCCCGCGUAGCUGGGAUUACAGGCGCCCGCAACCACGCCCGGCUAAUUUUCUGUAUUUUUAGUAGAGACGGGGUUUCACCGUGUUAGCCAGGAUGGUCUGGAUAUUUUUAUAUUAUUCUUAGGUAGUGCCUUUGCUGUAAGCCAGGGGAGAUUAGAUAUUUGGUUGCUAUUUUUGUAAACUUGAGCAUGGUUCAUAUACUCACCUUAACAGUCAAUAAAAUCUCUAUAGAAAUGAUCUGAGUCAUUUUUGCUUAUCAAUAUUUCUUGAGACUUAAAAAAUCACUUCUAGUGAAGUUUUAUAAGAUACUAUUUUAUAGAAAAAUCUAUAAAAAGAUGGUUUAGACAUAGAGAAGAAGUGUCCAACUUUUCAAUGUUGAUACUUCAAAGGACUUAAAGAAGCAUUUAAAUGACCCAGCUUUUAAAAUAUAUAUAUAGAUAAAUAGUGAGAAAAUAUAAUUUAUUUACAGGCAUGCUAUUAGUUGGGUCCAACCAGCAUUCCAGUCUAUAGCUACUAGGCUUAAAUUGAGCUAUUUGCCAUUUCUAAAUUCAUUUUAAUCAUUUUCUCUAUAGUAUGAAUACUUUACAGUAUUUAUAAGCCAUUAUAACAGCACAUUCUACAAUGGGCAAAAAGAUAAUGUGUUCAAUUAUGUUCGACGAUAUCAAUCUUUGUUCCUUUAAAGGUGUUACUUUAAGUCAAUUUAUCAAAAUAUGAUUUUAUUAUUUCUCAGGAAAACUCAUAGGCACAUUUACAUUUUAUAAUAAAUUAUCCUUCAAAUUAUCAACUUUAUCAUGUUAGAGAUUGUUUCCAUAUAUUAAACCUCUAUUACAAUUGUAAAACUUCUAAAGGACUAUUUCAUGUGUUAUAAAAUAUUUUUGCUGAAAUAACUAUACAGUAAUGCCUUCCCUGAUUUUGAGAAUUCUGGUAAUAGAUUGAAAUUCAAAUGAUUUAUAGCAAUAUGUUCUAAUUUACAGUUAUCCAUCAACAGCUCCAAAUGAAAUAUAAAUUACUAAGAUAUUCUAUCAAAUAUAAUGCUUGAACUUGAAUUUAAGCACACUUAUAUUUAAUAUUCAAUGAAUCAUCACUCAGUGUAAUUUAUCUGAAAUGCUAAAUUUG